ACAGGGUUUUUACUGUACUGCCUGGCAGGUACAGGACAGCGUGUGGAGAUGUCCAUGACUCCGACCCGCAUGGUGGGGCCCCCGUUCUCAUUCAGUUCCUCUGUACGCCAGCGCUGGGGGUUGGGAAAUUAUCGCGAGCGACGCCCCUCCUGGACGGCACCGGAGACAGAGGAGGUGGUUGCGCGACUUCGCGGCGGCAGGGGCUGGCUGAGCCCAAGGCCUGCGGCGCUUACAAGCCUUCAUGGAUGAAGGGAUCUCGACAACUAACGGGUAAGCUGCCUCUCCAGAUCUUUUGGGCCACUGUUGUGUGUGCUGCUGAGUGCCUUUCCGGCCGGCGAAGAUGGUAUACACCCGCUGGUCGAAGCGGUCCGUGAGACCGAGCGGCAGUCUCUCCAUUCGAGCACGGCGGCGACGGCCAUAUAAGAUAGCUGCGACUCGUCAUGGGGAGAAGGAAUUCUGGACCCUCAUGUUGCUCAAAGUGCACCGAGGGGGGGAGGCGCGGGAUCUGAGGUGGCGGACGGGUCCGCAUCAUGGAAGAAAAGCUAAAGACAGGCCAAGGGUAGGUGCUGUUGCUGACGGCAGGGGAGCAUCUCCAGGGAGGGUUACAGCCCUGGAAGAAUCAUUGAAGACAUACGCGGAAACUAGGACUGGAUUGGUCGUGGAGCCAGUGAUUGGCACUAGAUUCGAUUCGUUGGCAGAAGCUUACGAAUUUAAUCUGUUCUCCUGGGAAGUCGGUUUCGGCAUUAGAUACGGCAAGAGCCGUAGCAACUGCUAAGGGUCCAAGUGCAUGCAGGAAAUUGUUUGUGGAUGUGCGGGCAAGCCUAAACCAAAUACGACAUCUUCAAUGUCUAUGUUUCCGGCACUUAUGAGGCUGCUCCGCAGCAGUGAUGAGGCGUGCUACGUGGCAGAGCAUCGUACAGAGCACAACCACGACUUAUCGACGACCUGUGGUGAGAAAUUGCAUUGGCCUUGUCGUACCCGUGGCCCGCGGGAUCCCACCGAUAUGGGACGCGUGGGUCGCAAGUAACGGGUUGAUCAAAUAGUAGAUUCCACAACAGGUUGUAAGUUUUUGUGCUUUUUAGAUGCCUUCUCCGGCUACCAUCAGAUUAAGAUGACAGUCGAAGAUGAAGAGAAAACAACGUUUAUCAUUCCGGUUGGCUGCUACUGUUACACAUGCAUGCCUUCCGGGUUGUAGAACGCAGACUCGACAAUUCAGCGCGCUUUCCACGA